UGAUCUUUUUUUAAUUUCAACAUGUGCUACUGCACAUGUUAAUUUUGACUUAGGUUCCUAUUAAUGUAUAUGAUAAUAGAUUUCGGCAUUAGUGACAGAAAGUUGUCUGUCCCUCUCUGUUAUAUUAGCAUCUCAACAUUUCCCCCCCAGGUCAAACUAUAGAGAGUGCAGUUAACAAAAACACAGCAUCAGCAUCAAACUGACCACAUGCAUCAGCACACUUGAAACGCACUUGCUUGCAUGACACAUCAUCCAUAUAAACGUACCGGUCUGCUUCAAAAGAAGUGCUUGUUGGACCGUCUAAGAAUAUCCAAAAAACCCUCUGUCGUCAUCCUCAUCGUCCUUUAAUCAAGGCAAGCUUUGGAGUGGGGAGGUUCGGAACACCUUCCAACACUUCUGCCUUCAGACGUUGUACAAACAAAUACGUUGAGGCAUGUUGAACCCUUCAGACACUAUUACACUAUACAGGCCUUAACACGCAUUUUUGAUUUAACUGGUGCAAAAGGUGCUGGGCAUUAUCAGUCAUAGUCAUUGACAUUUCCCUUGUUCGCUCCAGUUUUUUCCCCAUGUAUAGUAGUUACCCAUGGUGAAUUAAAAAGGCUUGUGUUUACUACACGUAUAAUAAAAGAAUGAAUGGCCCUCUUUUGUGGUAUUUACAGCUUCAUGGAAACUUUUUCUAAAAGCUCAAAGCGGAGUGUUGAGAAUGCCGUACUCCAUCAAAUGUAAGCAUGGCCUUAGAAUGGAGAAGAUAUAACAUCACUGAACAUUUUACAAAAGAGAACAAGAACCAGCUCUUAUCUUCCUCUCACUAGUAAGCCACAUAAAUGUAUAUAGUUUCUAUACAGUGGAAUGGUGUAGUCAACUUUGCAUGUCAAAAAUGUACCGCUUUAAGCACAUCAGUAUGAGAGCGUUUACCAUCAAACCAAGUUACAGUAAUUCUUAGGAGAAAUUAGUUUUCCCUUCAAAAGAUUUGCAAUUUGUUUCUUCCUUUGCAAAGAACAAACUAACUGUGUUAGCAAUGAGUUUACCGGUCAUCAUCACAAAAGUCUACUUUGGAUUAUUUCUAAAUGUCAGUAUGUUUGAAUUUGUGAUCAUGUGGUGGAACACCUCUUAUUGUGUGCCUUAUAGUCCCUUUAUAAGUUUAUACCAGUAAUGCGUUACCCUCUGUGAUUCUGCUUUUUCUUUGUAUUUAUAUUUUGGAAUUCUCUGUAUUCUGACCUAUGUGACACCGUAAGAAAAAUGACAUAAUAAACAUACAAAGAAAUCAACAGUACUG